AGCUUGCUUUCCUGCCGGCGAGUGGCGAACGGGUGAGUAAUACAUCGGAACGUGCCCUGUAGUGGGGGAUAACUAGUCGAAAGAUUAGCUAAUACCGCAUACGACCUGAGGGUGAAAGUGGGGGACCGCAAGGCCUCAUGCUAUAGGAGCGGCCGAUGUCUGAUUAGCUAGUUGGUGGGGUAAAGGCCUACCAAGGCGACGAUCAGUAGCUGGUCUGAGAGGACGAUCAGCCACACUGGGACUGAGACACGGCCCAGACUCCUACGGGAGGCAGCAGUGGGGAAUUUUGGACAAUGGGCGAAAGCCUGAUCCAGCAAUGCCGCGUGUGUGAAGAAGGCCUUCGGGUUGUAAAGCACUUUUGUCCGGAAAGAAAUGGCUCUGGUUAAUACCCGGAGUUGAUGACGGUACCGGAAGAAUAAGGACCGGCUAACUACGUGCCAGCAGCCGCGGUAAUACGUAGGGUCCAAGCGUUAAUCGGAAUUACUGGGCGUAAAGCGUGCGCAGGCGGUUGUGCAAGACCGAUGUGAAAUCCCCGGGCUUAACCUGGGAAUUGCAUUGGUGACUGCACGGCUAGAGUGUGUCAGAGGGAGG
rnacentral:rRNA from 1 species